UCUGGGUCAUAACAGCCCAUUAGGAAACUGGACAUGAUGCCCCCUGGUGGGUAGAAGAACACACCUGGCAUUAGGAGGAGGAGAAGUGCUGCCUGGGGAGACCUCAGACCCUCUGAACUGUCCCUUCCACGGGAUCCUGUUGGGGACCUCCACCAUGUUGUCAUGCAGGAACUUUCUGCGCUCACAUAGAGGCCUGGAGAACACGACGCCAGUGGAUAAAUCAGGGGACCACUCACCAACAUGGGCUGAACGGGGGUCAUGAGAGAGGCCUCCACAGUGAGGAGUUUCCUGGGCCCUGAACCAUUGGACGCCUCCUGCUGAUUCCUCAGGACCCGUUCAAUCACAUCACCCAGAUUACGCGAGGCCUUGAAGGCAUCGUAAGCGUUCGGAUCCACAGCAUCCAAGCUGCGUGAAGGGGCAAUAAGAUAAAGGCUCGAGCUCAGUCUGCUGCUCAUCUUCCUUGGUCAGCUGGGCGAGGCGGGUCAGGGAAGCAUCCACUUCCUG